AGCUGCGCAGUGGGCACAAAGCGAACUAUUCUUUCGCCUUUUACUAAAGAAUACCGUGUGCUCGCUGCAAAUAGCAGCAUACUCUAAUUUUUUGAGGGGAUUUCCAGCAUUUGGAGAAC
rnacentral:snRNA from 10 species